AGCUGUUAUUUGGAGGAGGUAACUAAAAUUAACUUUGUGCUUUCCUUAAAAGGUGAUAAGAUUUGCAUUCUGCUGUUGCAACAAACAAGCCAAAAUCUGAACUUAUUUGAAGUGAUGUGCUUGUCACACAAGGCUGACUGCAUCUGAUCAGUCAUGAUUUAGAACAUAAUGAUUUGGAUUCUAUAGGAAGAAUUACUACAUGCUAGCCUCCUUGAAGCAGUAAAAAUAUAUGGAGGGGGGAUGUAUUUGUUCUAAUGCCUGCUUGUGUGAGGAUGGGUUAACUGUUGGAUAAGUAAAGCUGAACAAAGAAAUAUUUAUAGACCAAACAAACCAUACAUUUGCCUGUUUCUCCAAAACAUUGCUUUGCUGUAAAGGCAAUUAAAUAGCAUUUGUCCUUCUGAGUUGUAAAAUCCAAAUGAGACAGAAGGACCCAUUAGUUUAUACAGCCUGACCACUUCUGUACUGCAAUUCCUAUAUAACGCACCCCUGGCUCAUUAUUUGCACCUAAGAAUACAGAGGUGCAUAGUUUUGAUCUGAAAACCUCAAAAGAUAAGGGUUGUCUGUAUUUGUUUCAGAUGCUAUGACCUUUAGUGUUAGGUAAGUUCAAAUAUGAAAUUUGGUAUGUUUUUUGAGUUUAGAAAUUAAACAUUGAUGUCCUUAUUUCUUUAUCCUCAAGAUGAAGGCGGCUUUCAGUAUGGCCUCUUGCAUGCGCUUUAUACUGCAAUUAAAUUAAGUCUGGUUUUUUAUUUAAAAGAUUAAAAAGAUUAAGCUUUUAAAGUUUGAGCAUAAAUAACUUUCUUUUAGCUGAGAUUUACAUACAUGCUUUCUGCAAACACUCAUUCCGUUUUUUAAUAUGUGCAUGAGAAAGCGCUCUCAAGAAAUGAGUGCAGUGAACCAACUGAACCAGAUCACACUGUUCCCACCAUUGCUUGCCAUUCCGCCAGCACUGACGGUACUGUGAUUUUCCCUUCACUGAGAACAAUGUAAAAUUACUUCAGAUCUAGUACUGACAUAAUUGCUAAAUAUGAGGUCUUUCACUUAACUAAUUUCUAAUUUUUGUAAUGUAUUUUUCACUGUUAUUUUUAUUUUGUCUAGAAUGCCAUGUGUUUUAGGUAAAGCACCUUAUAAAAGCUUAAAUAGUGUGAGCAUUCACACAAAGGACAAACCCGAGGUUUGUUAAACAGGGUAGAUUUUCUGUGAAACGAUGUUGACUGGCAUUAAUGAUAUUGUUAUUUUAAUUAUACUUCUUUCUAUGAAGUGAAUUAAUACUUCAUUAAUUAACCUCCUUUUUACAUUUAAUCCAUGAUUAAAAGUGUUCUAACUCUCCUGCAAUUAUUAGUUUUUACCUUUUCAUAUCAGGAUACCUUCUCUGGGGAAGUUUUCUAGUUGUUCUCACAUGCAUCAGAGACAGUCAUCAGGGUACUGCUGAUAUCCAAAGCUAGGUCUCUUGGACAUUUUUCUAGACCUUGUAGUUAUGUUUUUCCUUAUGAAAUCCUAAAAAGUAUUAUCUUGAUAUUAUCUGUUUUCGUCAUAAGUAUAUUGGAAGUAUUUCAUUAUCCUCAUGUAGUACAAAGUUAUCCACAUUAUCAAAUACAGAUAGGCAACAUUUAUUGAACACUUCCAGUUUUUUGCUUCACUUCAGCGAUUUUACCAUCUUCAUCUUUUCAGUACUAGAAUUCAUUUAUGCGCUGAUGUAUCUUAAAAGGUCAUUGCCUAUGCGUAGCUGUUUUUUCUUAGCUAUUUUAACCAUGGAUUUUCCUUUCACAUUUUUAGCUUCCUUCAGAUUAUUUUUACUUCAUAAUAAUCCAUGUAUGUUAGCUUUUUUCUGUUUCACGUUUUUUUUUCCUCCCUCCCCUCCUCCCCCUUCCCCCUUGGUAUGGUAAGGGCUGUGACUCAGAACUUUGACCUCAUCUUAUCUACCUGUUCUGUCAGUGUAACAGCACUACAGUCAUCAUCUUGGCUUUGUGUGAUUCCUCCAGGCUGAUGCAUAUUGCUAUGGCAGAGUGGGAAGACUCGUGCUAUUGGGAUUGUCUGCUACAUGAAUGAAGAAUGAACAAACACGCAAGAAAACUGAGGAGAAAAGAUACCAUGUCUCGACAACGAACAUAACAAUUGGAAUAGUAACCAGCACUGGAUUAAAAAGGUAAGACUAAGCCAGAGCUUUUGCGAGGCAUUUAUUUCCAGUCUUAUUGCAGCUCUUUUGUUUUCAUACCAGAUUAGCUAGUGUAACACUACACUGCAAUGUACUUUUUGUAUUCUGUUCUUAGUGGCAAUAGUAUUUGACCUGGAAGUUACUUUCGCAAAGAGAAUUAUCUGUUCCAGUUAUCACUUCACAAGCAUCUGUAGUUGAGAAUAUUGAGAUCUGGUGUCAGCUCUGUUAACUUAAAUGUGUGUGUGUGGUUAACAAUUAUGCUUUUGGAAAAAUUUACCUGUAGUAUAUUCAGCAUAUCAGACAGGAUCCUAAAAAGACAUAAAUUUUUUUUCUAUGCCUUCUGCUAAUAUGUUUUAGAAUAUUUGUAUUUUUGUACUGCAGUGUUUCCUUUGGCGAAUAUUUCAAUAUUUCUGAAGAUUGGAUGUUUAGGGGUAGCAGUCCUGGGUUAUAGUUCUUCUAGUAACAUAUCUCCUGGUGUGGUCCAUUGCUUAUAAACUAAUUAUUUAACAAGUUGCUGUGAUGAACUGCAUAUUAUUUCCACUGCUUCAGACAGCUAACUAAACAAAUUAAGGCUGGAGUUCAAUUUUCAGCAACAGCUUCUAAGCUUUAUGCCUGUAUCUACAGGUAGUUUUACUCUUACUUAAAACAGCCAGUGAAUUAGUAGCCCUAAAAUAUAUCCUUUGGUCUUUUUCCCAGUAAGUCUUUUUCAUUUAUAAUACAGUGUCUCCUGUUUCAUGCUUAGUUUUUAACCUUUUUCCACAAGUAUAUGCAGAAGUCUUUAAUUGGCAUUUGAUUAUAUUUUUAUUUGAAAUUCAUUGAGCUUCUCUUAUAUUUCCCUCUACCCCCUCAAAAUUUGUACAUGCUGUUUUCAUAUCUGAACUCAUGUGGUUGUAAUCAAACUGUUCUCUGGGUUUUCCAGUAUUUUUCUUUCCUAUGUGUGUCACGUCAGUGAUGGCUCUCACCUUGUCCUACAAACAUUUUUCAAUAAUUAAAUAUUAUCCCUCUUUCAGAGGAAUGGGAGGCCAGUCACCUAAAGAGAUAGUGUUUGUUAUAUAGAACAUGUUAAGGGUUAUAAUUUACAGGCUAUAAUCCUGUGUUUGACAAACAUUUCACUGUGCUGCAGAAAAAUGGAGGAACUUAAAAACUUGUAUGCAAAAUCUAAAGGUAGGUGCCCCUUUUAAAAGAAGACAAAGCUGAGCCUACUUUUUAAUGAUUAACAGUCUUGGAGGAAACCUUCAUGCUUCAUUUAUGGAGCUAUUGUUUGCAUCUUUGUUCAUAUUUUUUGGAAGAAGGACUAUUUUUAAUAUUUUUAUGUAAUCCACUGGGUGCCUUUGUGGACAUCACUGUAUAAAAAUGAUUAAAGCAGUAGGUCAGUGUUCUUUCUCUCACAUAGUAUAUAAACUCCCCAUUCCUAUAAAAGGAUUCCUGUGUACUUGUUUUAAUAUAAAUGACUUAUCAGUAACACUUCUUUUACUUCAGACAUCAUGUUUGGAAUGAUUGCUUUAGGAAAUUGGUGGCAAAAGAAUAGUUACUUUUGGUAAAGGUAAAUACUUGCUAGAGCCAAAGAUUCUAGUUCUUCAUUUCUGCUAGAGUUAAAAUAUCUGUGAAAUCAAAUGGGUAUUUUAAGUUGGCAGUAAUACAAAGAAGUGGGCCUGAAAAUUUGGUAGCAAGAAAGGACAAUUGACUUCAUAUCAUGCAUCAUGGUCUAAAAGAACAGGAUGAUGCUUGUGAAAAUUUGCUAUCAUUUCAGUUUCCUCCUAGUAUUGUAACAUGGACUUGCCGGUCUUUUGAGGAUGAUCUGACUCUACUCAACAUCUUGUAAAGCUUAUCUAUGUACACAGAUAACAAAAAAUAACAAAGCUAUACCAUAUUGUCUCUCUAUAAUAUGAUACAGCAAGAAUGCUCCAGCAGAAAGGAAAAAGGAAAAUGUAUCUCCUGAAGUACAGCACCUUUGGUUAUGAAAUAAAGCAUCACUUCUAAAAUCUACUGUUAAUAAGAGAAAAUUCCUGAUAGAUCAAUCUAUGUAUGUGGUUUUGGUGGGUUGUUUUGUUUUUCCAGUUAGCUCUUUCCUGUGUCAUCGUGUUCCACUGAUCUCAUUUCUGUGAAGUGAUAAUGCGUAAGCAGGAUUACCUGGCAUAGUGUUGUUGAUCUUGCAAAGUAUCCCCUGCAUAAAGAGCUCAAUGUGGUAAACUGAUGCUUGUAGGCAGAUGAGGGAAGGGGGAGAAAGAGGUGAUGGGGAGUAAACAGGAGAUUCAGGCUCUUCUCAAAACUCAGAAGGGCCCUUGGCAAAUAUUCCUUAACUGGAAGGAAUACAUUUGGGGGAAGGCUAAAAGCUUAGAGGAUAAGAUCCAUAUGGUUUGUCCUUUUACUUUGAAUGAUUGUAAUGUGAUCCUUAUACAAGGAUCUUCUAAUAAAUAAUUUUUAGACCUCUCAGGGAUUCUGGGUUGUCCAAGAUUAAUGUAUGUGUAGCUUGUAUAGCUAUACAGAGUACAUAUAAGUACUGGUUAGGCUGUGUUCCUUUUCUGAAUAAUUGCUGUGAGCAACUUCCGGUGAGUCCGAUUUUGGCAGGUAAUAUAUAUUCAGGUAAUAUUCCUGAAAUGGCAUUUUCCCCUUUCAGUCAAUGUGGAUCCAGUCUCUUGAAAUGUCUCCUGUAAAGCCUCUUUACACAACUGUGGUUAAUAGUGUCACACCCUUGAUAAAGAAUUAGUCAUCGUAUGAUUUUCACAUCCUAAUAAAUUACAUUCUGGGACUAAUCUCUGAAAUGCAAUUUUGUUUGUUUCCAUCAACUUUUAACUUCUUCCUGAGUGUCUAAGGUCUCCCAUCUGAGCAUAAACAUUGAAACAGAGUGGCCUGAGUUUAAGAAGUGUUAAGUGAAUACAGAGCCUUCUGAUUUGAAUGGGAAAUGCAAUCGAUCAGCCCUUUGAAAAUGAGACCAGUCUUGUCUAAAGGAAGUAUGGAAUUGUGAAGCCAAGGUAAUUUAAGUAACCUGAGUGACCCAUGUUCUUUAAAAUACUUUCUGCAGUCAAGAUAAUGGAAUAAUGACAGAGUCGUCAUAGCUUUAGCUUUGGAAAACCCAAAUUAUAUUAACUUUAGACCAGUAUCCUGAGGGAGCAUGAGGCUAACAGACCACACAGGGAUAUGGAAAAUACUUAUGCAUUGGAUCCCCUGGCCUUCUCAAGUAAGGAAAGAAACCUGUGUGUAGGACACAGCAGCAAUAAAGGCAAUGACCGGUUGUUUGGAAAGGUAGAAGAGGGACAGUCUGCAGAGAACAUGAUGGAGUCAGUUGCAGGUACACUUGUGCCUGGUCUUGUACCUUGUAUUGGUGCCUCAACCUUGGACUGCCUCAUCACUACGGAUGACCUGGCAGUCGCCACUCUUGCUUGCUCCUUGACUGCUACAGUGCAGCUGGGGCGGGGGCAAGGACCUCAGCUGAUACGCAGCUCCCUAGCCAGCAGCAGAGGUUCAGAUGUGGUUUCUCAUAGCUGUAUGUCACCAGGCUUAUCCACCAGAUCCAAAGCCAUGCAGCUGUGCUGUAUCAGAGCUGCACCUAAACUCUGGGAAGAGCUUGUAGAGGAGGAUUACAGCAGAAGAUGGAUGGAGGCUGCUCAGAGCUAUUACAGCGUGUUGAUGCACCCAGGGCUCUGAGUGCAGUUUAUCUGUAAGAGCAGAUGAGGAGGAGGAGGAGACGACACUAAGAAUGUAUGUAACUAUCUGGGUUUUUUUUGUCGUUGUUCCUGUUUUUUAAAUUAAUGUUGCAAGAAUACUGAGACUGCAAAGCCAGUCACUCAGAAGUUAGCUCAUGUCAACAUUAAUAUUACAUGUGCACAUUAGCAGAAGUUUCAAUUUUAAUCUCGUUGAGACUAAAAAGACAGCAAAAUGUACAUCCUUAAUUUCAGGGUGACCUGUUAUCCCAUACUGUUUCCCACUAAAUUCUCCACGAUUGUUUAAUGCUAAUGCUGCUUAAUAAAAAGUGUAGUCUUUAAUGAGAUAAACCACCAUAUUUUUAAAUAAUCUUCUUUCAGAACUUUUUUUUUAAAUUCACUUUUAAAAGAAAAAAAGAACAGCAAAAAUCUCCAUCAAACACUUCUGUUUGAAACAAAU